rnacentral:rRNA from 1 species
UACGGAAGGCAGCAGUGGGGAAUAUUGCACAAUGGGCGCAAGCCUGAUGCAGCCAUACCGCGUGUAUGAAGAAGGCCUUCGGGUUGUAAAGUACUUUCAGUCGUGAGGAAGGUGUUAAGGUUAAUAACCUUAGCAAUUGACGUUAGCGACAGAAGAAGCACCGGCUAACUCCGUGCCAGCAGCCGCGGUAAUACGGAGGGUGCGAGCGUUAAUCGGAAUUACUGGGCGUAAAGGGCACGCAGGCGGUUAAUUAAGUUGGAUGUGAAAUCCCCGGGCUUAACCUGGGAAUGGCAUUCAAGACUGGUUAGCUAGAGUCUUGUAGAGGGGGUAGAAUUCCAUGUGUAGCGGUGAAAUGCGUAGAGAUGUGGAGGAAUACCGGUGGCGAAGGCGGCCCCUGGACAAAGACUGACGCUCAUGUGCGAAAGCGUGGGGAGCAAACAGGGAUUAGAUACC